ACCAUCGUACACGAUGACGCUUGUAGAACAGCUUUCUUAAUCAACCAUUCAACCGUUCGUGUUGUAUGCCAUAAGCAACGUCACCUGCAUUCCGAGUGGCUCUUGUCGAUAUUCAGCGAUGUAAAGCGACGUCGAUUAUCGUUCCGAUCAACGUGGGAGGUGGGUGUUUCUAUAUGGAAGAAGAGUAUGGGUUAAGGAUUCAUUUUACAAUGAGAAAAAGAAGAAAUCAGAAAGGAAAAUGGAAAAGGGGAUGGAAAGGUUCGUUAGUGUAAAUUUUUUAACAAUAAAAAAAGAAGGAAAAAGAAAGAAAGUAAAGAGUGGAAAAAAAGAUAAAGAAAAUAGUGAAUGAUAAAAUUGAUAAGAAGAAGAAAAGAAGAAGAAGAAGAAGAAGAAGAAGAAGAAGAAGAAGAAGAAGAAGAAGAAGAAGAAGAAGAAGAAGAAGAAGAAGAAGAAGAAGAAGAAGAAGAAGAAAUAGAUCGGAAUUGAGAAGAAGAAGAAAAAGAUCGGAACUGGGUUUUCACGUAUCUCUUUGGCCAGGUGGUCCCCGUGGAAACUGUUUGAUCGUUUUAAACUUGGCUGCAACACGUCGUCCUCAUCUCCACCGUUACCUCUUGUUAUAAAUAUACACAGAAAGAGAUAAAGAGAUAGAAAAAGGGAAACGAAAGACGUUGGAGGGAGAGGAAUAUAUAUAUAUAUAUAUAUAUAUAUAUAUAUAUAUAUAUAUAUGUCGCUUAAAGUCCAUGUCACACAACAGCGCCAAGGAAGAGUCCACACCAGAUAGAGACAUAGACCUGGACACGGACACACAUUUAAAAAAAGCUCACAUAGCGAGGACGACGACGAAGAAGAGACGAGGAACGCGAAGGUGGUAAUAGAGCAGCAGUAGCACGGCUAUGAAGUAGAAGGAGGAGAAAGAGGAAGAGAAGGAGGUAUACUCAUUUGGCACGGGAGGAGAGAAGAGGAGAGGAGAGGAGAGGAGAGAAGAGAAUGAGGGACGGGAUGAGACGGGACGGGAUGGGUCGGGACGGGACGGAACGAGACUCGGCUGGCUGCCCUUCCUCUUCGUUACUACUUUUGCGACUGUAUAUAUCUAUGUAUGUAUGUGUGCGCUCGCGCACGCUUAUCGUCGACGUAACGCACGCGUAGGACCUUGUCGUUCGCUCCGGAAUGGACGGAAAUAAGAAACGUAUCGAAUCGAGAGUGAGUGAGUGAAAGAGAGAGAGAGAGAGAGAGAGAGAGAGAGAGAGAGAGAGAGAGAGAGAGAGAGAGAGAGAGAGAAAGAGAGAAGGGGGAGAGGGAGGUUGCUCGCACCUGCGCGUCAUCGCGUGUCGUUGUCGUCUUCUCGUUUCUCCCGACUAGUGCGGAAGUGUAUGUAUGUGUGUGUGUCUCUCUAUUGCACGCGUCUAUCUCCCCACUAUUUUGCUCGCUUUAGCCUCCCACCCCACUCUAGAGACUAUGACUAUCACUGUAACUUCCCCUUACCUGCUGUUACCUUCUCCCCUUCCAUCUUUCUCAACCACUCUCCUCUUCGCACUUUUGACGUAAACCACCAAUACUAUCGUACUAAAAUACGCGGUGGACUCUCUAUCCAUUUUACAUGGAGUUUGAGCCACCCACUACUACUCUAUCUACCACCACCAUUGGCCGCUGAGUCGAUUAUCGUCUCGAGAACCCUUCCAGAGAGUAUACCAUGAGUGGUAGAGGACGAGCGUCUGUAUGUGUAUGUGUGGAGAGAGAGAGAGAGAGAGAGAGAGAGAGAGAGAGAGAGAGCUUACACGCGGCUUGUUCGCAUAAUGGCCGACCCGAGUGACCACCACCAAACGUUAUACUUCGUCAGGAUUAUGUAACCUAAGAGAGAAAGAGAGAAAAAGAUAAAGAGAGGGAGCGAGAGAGAGAGAGAGAGAGAGAGAGAGAGAGAGAGAGAGAGAGAGAGAGAGAGAGAGAGAGAUGGAUAAAAACAGUAGACAGAAAGAAAUAUGGACGAUGAGGAUAUGUCUAGCUAGAAAUGUUUGUUUGUUGUGUGUGCGUCUAUGUGAUUGUGUACUUCUGUCUAUCUGUAUUCUCUGUAUAGAAAGCAGGAAACGAACUACUUUUUUCGCGUCAAAACGAUCGUAGAUAUAUGUUACUUUUUUGUGGCAUAUUAUUUUUGGCAAGAGAGAGGGAGAGCGAGAAAGAAAGAAAAGGAAAAGAGAAAGAAAGAGAGAGAGAGAGAGAGAGAGAGAGAGAGAAAGAGAGAGAGAAAGAAAGAUACAUAUCGUAAUAAAUAAAUAAUUCGUUUCUGUAACGCCAAGGAUCAAAGAUAAUUGAUUUGUUUUUAUAUAUAUUAUACAUAUUUUAGAUUAAAUCAUCGUCUAUUGAUGAAUUAUGCAUGCACAAAUAUUAUCGCCAAUUGAUUAUCACAGAUAUAUUAUUUAAUAAAAUUCUUUUUGUUAUUAAUAACAAAUUUGUUAUAUAUAUAUAUAUAUUCUUUUUCUUCACGAAUUAAUUACUAUAAAGAUAAAAUACGAUUUAGGCUGACUGAUCAUAAUUUUCGUACACAAAAAAGAAAAAUAAAAAACUUAAUUCAUCUUGAAAAAAGUUGCAUGCAUGCGUAUGUGUGUGAAUAUAUUACAGUAGUUAUCAUAAAUAUCAAAUGACUAAGUUGAAUAAUAAAUUGCAUAAAAAUUUAUACCAAACAUGAAAAGUAACAUAAAUUAUUUUAAGUAGAAUGAUUUUGGCAAUUCUCUCCUAUAUUAACGAUUAUCUUCUCUCUCUCUCUCUCUCUCUCUCUCUCUCUCUCUCUCUCUCUCACUCUCCUUUCAUUUUAUUAUUCUUAAGUUUUUACUAAUUGUCCAAAUAAAACAUAUAAUAUAUUCUUGGAGAAUUUAUUUUUAUCGUAUUCUUCUUUUUCAUCGAAGGUUAUGCCUUCGUGGUUAAUCUUUACGAUCAGUAUUACAAAAUGAGAUACUCGAUAAGACACAUUUCGUGGUUAAAGAUAUCCGAAUUUGGCUUGGUGACAACUGUGUCGUGUGCAGUUGGUAGAGAGAGGAAGAAAAAGAGAUAGAAAGAAAGAGAAAAAGAGAAAAAGAGAGAGAGAGAGAGAGACAGAAAGAGAGAGAGAGAGA